UUUCCGGCCCGGGUGAGCCCAAUAUCCCCGCGGAAUCGCGCCCGGCCUACAGACAUCGGGGAGAACUCCCCGUCCCCCACUCGUCGCUUCGCUCCUCUUGCCCCGCGAGGUCAAGCGGGGGAGCGCCGCCACCGCCACCUGAUCUCCUCCGACGAGCUCGCAACGGCAAGCUUCUCCUCCGCCAGUUUCUACCUCCUCCUCCUCCGCAUCAGAUCUUGCAAAAAUUCGCGGCCGGGGGAGCCCUACGGCGGCUGGGAGGGACCGGACGUCGAGCUCCGGGGCCAUUUCGUAGGUCAUUGUUGCUGAUAAUUUCUUCACUGGUUCAAAAGACAACCUGAAGAAGUGGAUCGGCCACCCAAGAUUUGAGCUCAUCCGUCACGGUAAAAUAACCAGUAGUUAACUAUGCAUUUUAUAGGCAUUUGCUAGUAGGUCUAUGCAUUGCCACAAAUUGAAUCAUGGUUAGUCAAUGACAAUUGAAGUACAAUGCAAUUAUUGUGCCGUAUAUUCAAUGCUUGUCCAAUAGCAUAACCCGAGUUGUCUGUUGACUGAAUUAACUUUCUUUUUCUCUUAAUUGGUGAUUGACUGUUGAUUUGGAACCUGCUAAUGACAACUCAUAUUCGGAGUACAAGCAUGUGCAUUCAAGUUAUUUUUUCUGACACUGGUUGUAACUUUCUUCAUUUUUUAUCAUGAAAAUGUGAUGACGGGACAGAUCAUAUACUCAGAUUGAUAGUGUUCAUCAUGUCAUGGGAAAACAGUAUUGUUUAGCAAAUUUUCGGAUAGAUCAAGGGCUUGUCUUGGUUCAUGAGGCCUGCUUUAUUUUUUUUAAGGAAAGUAGGUCUGCUUUAAUUUGGAAUGUAGGAAAUAGGUAGAGGAGUUUAGCAGAAUUGAAUUCUCACAGGAAAAUUUUCUGGGAGGGCCUUUGUAAUGAAAAGGAAAGCAAAUUCACAUGUGUCCGACCUCAUACUAGUUUUCUCCAUUGUGCAUUGGGUAGCAAUCCUUUUCAUGUUGUUUCGCAUCCAAUUAUAUAUAGGUAAUUUGCUUGAAGUGUGUGUCCAAUUAUAUAUAGGCAGCUGCUCUUAUACUAUUUAUCCUACUUGAAGUAUGUGUCAAUUUGUGUUAACUGCACAGUGCUUAGUGGAAGUGCGAGAUAUGAAAACUGAAGAAACAGGUACGCUCUUUUCAGCUAUAAAAUGCACUGUCAUUGAUUGCAGAAAUAGAUGCAUAAUUGGUGUUUGUGUUUCCCUGAAAUUGACAAACACCAAUUAUUAUCUGCAUUUUAGUAGUCAAACACCUUUCAACUUCUGAUCCACAGAUCAAAUGCCAUUUCUUUGAUGUCUUGCAUUAUCAGUUUGCAGAAUUACCUUUGGAACAUCUGGAGAAGGACAAUGCAGUGGCAAGGCCUACGGAAGCAUGUCAAAAGGAGUUUCAUCAUUUGUUUUGAAGAAACCUCUAUUCCAUUUUAUUUAUCCACAUGAUUUUUCUUUGGUUUUCCCGGAAGAAACUACUACCUAGCUAGUAAUUAUCUCCAAGGUCUGUAAUUCAUUAUUUGGUCAAAGUAGUUUGUAAUAUAGGAUUCACAUGGUGUGAAUCAUUUUGGACAUGUCUCAUCGUGACUAUGUUGGUGCUAGUCGAGAUGGAUUAAGCUUAUAUGGAAUAGCAUAUGCUUGUUACCCCAA